GGAGAGAUGCCGGAGCGGCCGAACGGGGCGGUCUCGAAAACCGCUGUCCGCGUAAGCGGACCGGGGGUUCGAAUCCCUCUCUCUCCG
rnacentral:tRNA from 1 species